GGGACUUCCGCCGACGGGCGCUGCUAGUGCGUCACUUCCGAGAGCUCAGCCCAACGUGUCCUGCGUCCUCUAUGGCGCUUUCCGCGUCGCACAGCGCACCCACCCGGCCUGGAGCCUUAUGGAGUACGUGGGGAAUCCAAGGCACAGCAAGGCUCGAAAGCAGCCCAUGGUUGUGCAGCUAACGGAGCAGAGAGUCUUGGUCUGUCGCCCAGGCUGGAGUGCAAGUGGCACAAUCUCGGCUCACUGCAACCUCCACCUCCCAAGUUCAAGCAGUUCUCCUGCUUCAGCCUCCUGAGUAGCUGGGAUUACAGGCCCUGGCCACCACUCCUGGCUAAUAUUUUGUAUUUUUAGUGGAGAUGAGGUUUCACCAUAUUAGCCAGGCUGGUCUUGAACCCUGACCUCAAGUGAUCCACCCGCCUUGGCCUCCCAGAGUAUUGGGAUUACCGGCAUGAGCCACCUGCUUUUAACUUGUUCAGCCACAAAGGCAUAUCUGUGAAUGUACAACCAUAAUGACUCAUCGUGGGCCCAGAGCUGUAACAACAAUGGUGAAGUACCAAGCAUCCUACACCAUGUGUGUGUGUUGAUGAAAAUCAGCAUCCUUGCCUGUCAUUGUGAUUUUCUGGCUGAGUGUAGCUUCUUGGAGACAAGUGUGUGUUCUACACCACUAGGAGCAAGCUUCUCUAUGAAAACACUUCUGGCUGCCAGGCGCCGUGGCUCACACCUGUAAUCCCAGCACUUUGGGAGGCUGAGGUGGGUGGAUCACGACGAGGUCAAGAGAUCGAGACCAUCCUGAUCAACAUGGUGAAACCCUGUCUCUACUAAAAAUACAAAAAAUUAGCUGGGCAUGGUGGCACGUGCCUGUAAUCCCAGCUACUCAGGAGACUGAGGCAGGAGAAUUGCCUGAACCCAGGAGGCGGAGGUUGCAGUGAGCCGAGAUCACGCCAUUGCACUCCAGCCUGGGUAACAAGAGCGAAACUCCAUCUCAAAAAAAAAAAAAAAAAAAAGAAAACACUUCUGGGCUUCUCUGGGGAAUCCAAACUGUAAAGCUCGUUUCUGAGAAGAGUUGGAACACUGCCUGCAGCAGGAGGCACAUUGCCAGCUCUUGACUGUUAACGGAGGUAUCCAGCUACCAGAAGCCUUAGAGUGUGUACCUUGUGACAGAGAAAGGUAUGUCUAAGCUGUAGUAAAGGAUACUGUCAAGGGGACUCUGCAAAGCUUCUCACUGCAAGGUACUUCUUAGUAAAACACUUUGUUUUUCCGACUUCUUUAUUUUGUGCACUUGGUCUUUUCUGUUUUAUCUUCCCGUUGCUGUAAUUCUGAUGGAUGAAAGGUACGUCUUGCAGAACUGAACUUCCUGAAAGGAGACUUUGCAGGGGGAUUAGCCAUCAGUAGCCAUCAGGUCUUAAGAGGGUGCUUGGAGUGCUCCAUCAGGCCCAUUGGCCACUUCCUUGGAUCCCCACAGGAACUCACUCGGAACGAGUCACAUGCUACUUUGUACCUAGAUGCUUCCUUGUGUACAUUUUGUUUUCAAAAGAAGUAGCCAGCCCAUUGUGAACAGGAACUAUGUCUUACUCUUUUGCCAUCCCUCACCUCAGGCAGCACUGCCAAGAGCAUUCACAGUGACCGUGGAACUUUGGAUUGAACGUCAGCUUGAGUAAGUUCCUGAUGUAGUGGUGGCUGUAGCAGUUGGAACCUGGCUUCUGCAAUACUCAAGUAGUCCUAGUGAAUUACACUACUGUCAAACCGCCUGUGUACAACCCUGAAAUGGGUCAGAAAUCCACACUGUGCCAUAAAGAGGAAAGCUGUCCCAGACCUCCAGCUUCAUGACAGCCAGGGCCUUCUCCAGGGCAGGUUCCUCCAGCCUGAGGCACUUGGACUCUGAUCCCCUGGAAUGAGGAGAGAUGCUGAGGGCUGCGGAUUCUGUAAGGGCAGAUGCCUCAGAGGAGCCAGCAGCCAGCAAACCAGCUACCAGUCUAGCAUAUUUCAUGAUGAAGUAAAGCUGCAGCCGAGGAGCCCUUGGAGCAGGCAGGAUGACACCUCGUGAACCUACCAGGCAUGCACACCUCCAUAGCCAAGUUCUGCCUGAACCACCACCUCCUGGCACUAAUGGAGAGUGCUUCCACUGCAGGGCAAGGGGGCAUACAUAGGUCUGCGUCUGUGUGUUUUCCAGUUGUUGAAAUGAUUGGUUAUAAAUAGAAUUCACUGACGGAUGAGGAGGUGAAAGGUUUACUUACUGAAGUUUUCCUUUAAUAUGACACUGGAAACUCAAGAGAAGGGGAAUUUCACCUUCACUUAGUAAGUGGAUUUUCUCUAGCCACUGGAUUUAUACCGUGUCUGUCAUCCCAAUCCUGUGAGUCUUGUGGAGUUUUAAAUGUGGCUAGGGAACAGAUGUUAUCUUAAUUUCAUAGAGGUAUGAAUUCAACAGGGAAGUCUAAGGAAACACCCUCCUUUGCGGAAGGCAACAAUGGCAUGGGAGCCACCCUCUGGGGCAAAGGUGCAGCCUGACAGUCUGCAGAAUUACACAAUGAGUUAAAAGUGUGAGCUUCAUGUCUAAGAUAUAGCUCCACCCAUGUGAUCCUGGGAAAAUUUCUCAACUUCACCAAGCCUCUGUUUCUUCACCUGUAGAUUGGAGGUGGUAAUAAUGCGUGUGGAAUAUGGUUAGUGAAAUAAAGUACUUUUAACAUGCCUGGCACAUAGUAAGUGAGCAAAGAGAUUCUGUACUGUUACACAUUAUUAUGUAUUAUCUAUGUUAUUAGCUGCUUAUUUACAUAAUAUUUGCUAAACUUUUGUUCUAUUCAUUAAAUUCUUGUUGAACCUUAACAACUGCAAUGUAGGGAGCCUCCACCACAUGCCAGGUAAUUUGUUUUCCUUCUCAGGACAGCAUAAUGAGGUGGGCGUGGUUCUGUUUCUCAGAGAGGAAUGCUUGCUCACAGUCACACAGCUGGAGGGACACAACUGCAGGUGGGUCCAAGGCCCCUGGAAGUCCAAAGCCACUCUCCUUUUGCACUGCCGUCUAAGAGUGGCUUUGUUCUUGACCUCUUUAGAGUUAUUACCUUGUUUGGUACUUAUUUAUUUAUUUGUUUAUUUAUGAGACAAGGUCUCAUUCUGUUGCCCAGGCUGGAGUGCAAUGGUGUGAUCUUGGCUCAUUGCAACCUCCACCUCCCAGGUUUAAGCAGUUCUUGUGCCUCAGCCUCCCAUGUAGCUGGGACUACAGGUGCGUACCACAACACCAGGCUAAUUUUUGUAUUUUUUAGUAGAGGUAAGGUUUUGCCAUGUUGUCCAGGCUGGUCAUGAAUUAUUUGGUAUUUAAAUGGAGGUACAUGAUAGAUUGCACUUGGGAUCAUCAGCUAUAAAUAAUCCCCCAGGACCAAUGUUUCACUAAAGCACUGUUUGCACAUGCAGACAGAUUGUGUUUCUUCUGUGAGAAUUCCAUGUUCCUAUGCUUGGAUCAUGACAAGCAGGUGGCUUCACUGCUACCUGUGCCAAUGAACUUCUGCCCUUGCUCACGUCCAAGCUGCUGAUAAGAGGUGUUUUCAUGGGUUGAUUAUGAAUCAUUCCAUUGGCAUACUGUUAAAAACAUUCUUUGCAUUCUGCAGUUCUGUAAAGUACUUUUAGGUUUAAUGGAAAUCUUGGAAUCUCUUUUCCUAGGGAAGAUUUGUGAUAAUAAAUGUACACAUAUUUGGAA